UCUAAUACAAUGAUUUUUCAUGGUUGAUGAUACAAUUUUUAUACAUCCGUAAAAAUCAACGGUGAAAAAUGUAAUACCUCCACAGUAAGCAUUCUAGGAUGGAACAAACAUGAAAGUUUAAAUUGUCAAGUUUCUCAUGUUCCGAUGGCACGGUAUUUCUUUAGUCUUAUUAAAUCUCAUAAUGAGGAACGUCCUGUUGAGUUAGAGAAAGCGACUACAGGUUGUGGAACUGAAAAGUUAGUCAACAGAUUAGAGACAAAACAAGGAGAUAAGGUUUUGCAAAAUUAUCUUGGAGAACUUGAUGGCUUCAUGCAAGAUCUAAAACAAAUAAUAUGCAGACUGUUGUUAAGGAAGUUACUCAAAAUAUCAAAAAGAGAUGAUGGGAAUACUAAACCGUGGGUGAUGAGUGUGUUGAAAGAGGUUACUGCUAACAAUUAUUUCGGUAUCUCGAAGACAAGACUAAACCAGAGGUAAGAAGUCUUUCCUUCCUGUUUUGCUAUAAAUGUAUACUUGAUUCUCUUUUGGAAGCUAAAAUAUGUUCACCGGUUUGCCUGGAGGAUUCCUUGGACAUUGUACAGGAAUUGAAUAAGAUUGGGAGAACUAGCCCUAUGUAUAUGGUACUGUAUUAUAUAUUGAUCAAGCUGCGAAGUGGGAUUUAUCUGAAUGAGGAGAUGCAUGGCCUGGUGUGUACGCCUUUAUGAGCAAAUGAAACUAGGGAAUGACAUGUUCUUUAGAGGGCUUUCCUGAUGCAGUCCGCCCAUUUCUGCUUCCCUUCUUUCCAUUGCCUUGAAGCGUGUUUCUUUCUAGGUAUUAUUGACUGGCAAACUCAUUCAUAGGUCUAGGAGGACAUAAUAUCAGUCAAUGUUUGUAUCUUUUUUUGCUUAUCACGCAACAAUUUACAGUCAUUUUCCCUUUAUUUGGAAUCCCCAUUUUGCAUUGAAGCAACCGGACAUAUUAUCCUUA